rnacentral:lncRNA from 1 species
CCCUCCUCUUCCGUUCCUCCCUAGCUUUCCAAUUCUCUCCUCUUCCUCCUCUUGUGCUCCGGCCUGCAGUUGUCCAGAGAACAAACCUCUGGUCCUUUAGAUCUGUUGCCACCUACUGUGGGAACUUUGGGUCUCACUCUGUCACCCAGGCUGGAGGGCAGUGGCAUGAUCUCAGCUCACUGCAGCCUCCACCUCCCAGUGCAAGCAAUUCUCCUGCCUCAGCCUCCUGAGUAACUGGGACUACACGCACGCGCCACCAGGCCCAGCUAAUUUUUGUAUUUUAAGUAGAGACGGAGUUUCACCAUUUGGCCAGGCUGGUCUGGAACUCCUGACCUCAAGUGAUCUGCUAGCCCCAGCCUCCCUAAAUGUUGGGAUUACAGACAUGAGCUACUACGCCUGGCCUAAAUAAACUUUUGUAGCUGCUAUGAUCACUAAUCCUGUCCCAUUUCUUCAGUGUAGUUCAGAACCUUGAUGGGUCAUCACAGGUUUCUAGUAAGCACAGACAAAGAAAUGACUUCUCAUCAAGGCCUAUACAAGGCAACACUAGAAGACUGGCAAAUGUUUCCAAUUAGCUCCAUUCCUAAUAACAGUAAAUCUUUGGUUUGCCUGGGACACAGUACUAAAUAGAGUUCUUGGCUGUGAUGACUUGCCCAAAUCCUGGG